rnacentral:rRNA from 1 species
UGGGGAAUCUUGCGCAAUGCGCGAAAGCGUGACGCAGCAACGCCGCGUGGGGGAAGACGGCCUUCGGGUUGUAAACCCCUUUCAGUUGGGACGAAGCUUCGACGGUGAAUAGCCGGCUGGAGUGACGGUACCUUCAGAAGAAGCCCCGGCUAACUACGUGCCAGCAGCCGCGGUAAUACGUAGGGGGCAAGCGUUGUCCGGAAUUAUUGGGCGUAAAGAGCUCGUAGGCGGUUUGUCGCGUCGGCUGUGAAAUCUGGAGGCUUAACCUUCAGCGUGCAGUCGAUACGGGCAGACUUGAGUUCGGUAGGGGAGACUGGAAUUCCUGGUGUAGCGGUGAAAUGCGCAGAUAUCAGGAGGAACACCGGUGGCGAAGGCGGGGUCUCUGGGCCGAUACUGACGCUGAGGAGCGAAAGCGUGGGGAGCGAACAGGAUUAGAUACC